rfam:Parabacteroides goldsteinii dnLKV18 genomic scaffold acPFM-supercont1.4, whole genome shotgun sequence.
GGAAAGCUGCCAGAGUGGUCGAAUGGGCCGCACUCGAAAUGCGGUGAACGGGUAACUGUUCCGGGGGUUCGAAUCCCUCGCUUUCCG